UACGUAGGGUGCGAGCGUUGUCCGGAAUUACUGGGCGUAAAGAGCUCGUAGGUGGUUUGUCGCGUUGUCCGUGAAAACUCACAACUCAAUUGUGGGCGUGCGGGCGAUACGGGCAGACUGGAGUACUGCAGGGGAGACUGGAACUCCUGGUGUAGCGGUGGAAUGCGCAGAUAUCAGGAGGAACACCGGUGGCGAAGGCGGGUCUCUGGGCCGAUACUGACGCUGAGGAGCGAAAGCGUGGGGAGCGAACAGG
rnacentral:rRNA from 1 species